rnacentral:rRNA from 1 species
UACGUAGGAGACCAGCGUUGUCCGGAUUUACUGGGCGUAAAGAGCGCGCAGGCGGUCGUUCAAGUCGAGUGUGAAAGCCCCCGGCUCAACUGGGGAGGGUCACUCGAUACUGAUCGACUUGAAGGCAGGAGAGGGAAGCGGAAUUCCCGGUGUAGUGGUGAAAUGCGUAGAUAUCGGGAGGAACACCAGUGGCGAAGGCGGCUUCCUGGACUGUUCUUGACGCUGAGGCGCGAAAGCUAGGGGAGCAAACGGG